rnacentral:tRNA from 1 species
GCCCAAGUGGCGGAAUUGGCAGACGCGCACGGUUCAGGGCCGUGUGACCGCGAGGUCGUAGGAGUUCAAGUCUCCUCUUGGGCAC